rnacentral:rRNA from 1 species
UAGUGUUUGAUCCUGGCUCAGAGCGAACGCUGGCGGCAGGCUUAACACAUGCAAGUCGAGCGGGCAUAGCAAUAUGUCAGCGGCAGACGGGUGAGUAACGCGUGGGAACGUACCUUUUGGUUCGGAACAACUGAGGGAAACUUCAGCUAAUACCGGAUAAGCCCUUACGGGGAAAGAUUUAUCGCCGAAAGAUCGGCCCGCGUCUGAUUAGCUAGUUGGUGAGGUAAUGGCUCACCAAGGCGACGAUCAGUAGCUGGUCUGAGAGGAUGAUCAGCCACAUUGGGACUGAGACACGGCCCAAACUCCUACGGGAGGCAGCAGUGGGGAAUAUUGGACAAUGGGCGCAAGCCUGAUCCAGCCAUGCCGCGUGAGUGAUGAAGGCCCUAGGGUUGUAAAGCUCUUUUGUGCGUGAAGUAUAAUGACURYAYCRCUAUGUUAUSYCA